CUACUUCAUGGAACAAAGCUUAUCUGACGGCCAAGAAAUACAUAGUUCACAGAGAUCCAAUUGGACAUGGAGGGGUAAUGCACACGCCACUCAGAGAUCAAGUCUUCAUUGGGGGCAUGAAAAUACGAUGUUUAAUCUAUGCUACACUGUUGAAAGUAGUAGAUUACUAUCAUUCAUCAAAAUCAUUUGACAGACAACUGAUAACAUCUGUGUAACGUAGUCAUGGUUAAAAUUCAGGAAAUAUCGGGCCAAGUUAGGUAGCAGCAACUUGAAGAUAAUAUUAGCAUUGAAAUAUAAACUGCUCUGCAAACAUGAUGUUACCGAGAUGGAUACAAUGUGUGCAAAUAAGCUAAAUCAUUGCGGUAACAUUAUGUACUGUACUGAAGGAAUAAUUUAAAAUCGAAUUAACGUCAUUUAUGAUAUGGAUACGGAACACGAAUAAAAUUAUCGAAGAGCGCAGCAGAUACCGGUGAAAGAUUACGAUAGGAAAUCGGCGAAGCAGUUGCACAUGAUGAGGAAAUAUCUUAACAAGGAAAAUGAAGAAAAUUGUGUGAUUCAUCGGUCAAAAAAUAUUUAACGUUUCGCUAGCAUACGUUAUAGUGUGCACUGUGAUUCAUCAAUCACUAAAUUUUCACGUGACAGAGGUGCCUUACCAAAGAUUACACCAUACACAUUUUGGGGAUAACAUGGAUUAUACAUUAGCGUAGGUACAUACCUUAUCAAAUGAUCGCCACCCUGCGGGUCGGCACUCGGUUUUUGACGGAAUGAUGGAAGUUUACGGUGACUGGAUCCCAAAAAUCAGUCAAAUCAGUCGAUGAAAGUUGAAGAUUCGUUCGUUUGAAGACCAGUGGCUGUCGAAUUUUUUCGCGACCAAUUUUCCGUAAUAAAUGUCGAGAAAAAACAUUCGUUCGUAACUACUGUUUAAGCGUUACGAGCGAACAUUGAAGCGCCGGUCGAAUAACUCGUUAAUCGUAAUUUAUUUCGUUUAAAUAUCGUCAAAUCUGGCAAACCCCUGAAGAACUUCCUCCUACGGACACACCACCGAGCAGGAGCUCCCAGAGAGGUUCGCAAAUGCAUCCAGUACAAACCAUAAUCGACUUCGUAACUCGAACUUCGAGUUCGAGACUUCGAUUAUCGUGUGCAAUCGAUCACUCGAAUAAAAUUUAAAAUGAAUUACAAUUAUUCGAUAGUUAAAAACGAGCAACACUAUCUAACACGAAUUUUAAUUUGUGAUAUUCAUUGUGUGAUCCUUCUUAAAUUUCUCUUCCCAAAUAUAAAUCUAGAAGUGGUUAAUUUUUUAACUAAUAUUUUAUAUUAACUACCUUGAAAACGUUUUUGAAAAAUAUGAAUUUUUAUAAAAGUGCACAAUUUUAAUGCUAGGAAAUUCUAUUCAGUACUAAAAGAUAGAGAUAAUUGCCUGUAGUAUUGCUUGUGGAAACAGUGCUAAGCCUAAUCUAGGUGGGAAUGUUUCCAUUCUGAACCUUUUUUCCUCUUAUUAUCAGUGAUGUGAGCGAAAAACACGGAAAACAUUUCCAUCAAAAUAUUUUCAAAAUGGAAAAAACGAUUCCGUAUCAGAAUAUGACUAGCAGAAUUUUUGCAAACUGAAAUUGAUUACAAAAUUCUUUGUAAUUAUGUGAUUUGUAUUCAAAAAUACAUGAAAUUGGACGGUGAUGACGAGCAACUACGGCACUGAUAAAUCGAGAUAGACAGUCGAUGGCCGCAUGGCGGGAAAUGUCUAUAGAAUCUCAAUAGUACUAUGUAGUACAUUUAUACUAGAUAAAGAAUUUUAUAUAAAAAUGUGAAAAUAGUACGUGCAUCCUUUUUUUUUUUAUUUUAGUGGUUAUUUAUAAUUUAAAUAAAAACUAAAGUGUUCUUACAAAAGUUCAUGUUUUUACAAAACUGAAGGCGUUAAAGUAAUUCUGUUUCCGGAUUCAAAAAAAGGUUUCAAUUUGAUAGAUAAUACAAUUUAAUAAAUAAAUUAAUCUUUCAAUAGUUAGUAAGUAAAAGUUUGUUAAAAUAAUUUCUUUUUAAUUGUUACAAAUACUUUUUAAACAAAAUUUUAUACACCACUGGUAUACCUACUUUUUUAUUUUUAUUCAAUUAAAAUUUAUUCUCAUUAACAUAAUGAUUAUGUGAAAUCAUUAUCAACAUUUUAUAACGAAAGAUAUUCUGUACAUAUGAGUAAAGAUCAAGUUCGUGAUCUAUAUUAUGAAAUGCUCUAUCAAUUUUUAAACUUUGUAGGAUAAACAAAUUGCAAUUAUGAAACCGAUUAUCAUACAAGGGUACUACAACCAAUAUCAUAUUAAUUAAUAUCGUAAUAAUAAACAUUUAUACAACUUCAAAUAAAAAUUAUUUUAUAUUAUUUAUUUAUCUAAAGUAUCGCAAAACGCGAUAAAAAUUUAUUAAAAUUAAAAAAUCUUAGCUAAAUGAUGUAUGUAUGUAUUGCUUUAUUGUACUGAGGCUAGUACCUAUUACAGUCUUUUUCUAAGUUAUUGCACGUUCGGUUCCUCUCUUAAUUACUUCUAUUUCUGAGUGCAAUUUUUCGAUUUCUAGUCUUAUCAUACACCUUGAUGUACUUCUGGCUACCCCUAACAUCCUCUUAAUAAACUCUGCCAGUACUUUUUCUAA